rnacentral:tRNA from 1 species
GGCCCUGUGGCCUAAUGGAUAAGGCGUCGGACUUCGGAUCCGA